rnacentral:rRNA from 1 species
UACGAAGGGGGCUAGCGUUGCUCGGAAUCACUGGGCGUAAAGCGCACGUAGGCGGCUUUCUAAGUCAGGGGUGAAAUCCUGGAGCUCAACUCCAGAACUGCCUUUGAUACUGGAAAGCUUGAGUUCGGGAGAGGUGAGUGGAACUGCGAGUGUAGAGGUGAAAUUCGUAGAUAUUCGCAAGAACACCGGUGGCGAAGGCGGCUUCCUGGACCGACACUGACGCUGAGGCGCGAAAGCUAGGGGAGCAAACGGG